UGGGGAAUAUUGCACAAUGGAGGGAACUCUGAUGCAGCGACGCCGCGUGAACGAAGAAGGCUUUCGAGUCGUAAAGUUCUUUUAUAUGGGAAGAUAAUGACGGUACCAUAAGAAAAAGCCCCGGCUAACUACGUGCCAGCAGCCGCGGUAAUACGUAGGGGGCUAGCGUUGUCCGGAAUCACUGGGCGUAAAGGGUUCGCAGGCGGAAAUGCAAGUCAGGUGUAAAAGGCAGUAGCUUAACUACUGUAAGCAUUUGAAACUGCAUAUCUUGAGAAGAGUAGAAGUAAGUGGAAUUUUUAGUGUAGCGGUGAAAUGCGUAGAUACUAAAAAGAAUACCGGUGGCGAAGGCGACUUACUGGGCUCAUUCUGACGCUGAGGAACGAAAGCGUGGGUAGCAAACAGG
rnacentral:rRNA from 1 species